rnacentral:rRNA from 1 species
AACGAUUAAAGCUCUCUUCGGAGAGUGCAUAGAGUGGCGCACGGGUGAGUAACACGUAAGUAAUCUACCUUCGAGUGGGGAAUAACGUCCGGAAGCGGACGCUAAUACCGCAUAAUGCAGCGGCAUCGUAAGAUGACAGUUGUUAAAGAUUUAUCGCUUGAAGAGGAGCUUGCGGCAGAUUAGCUAGUUGGUAAGGUAAUGGCUUACCAAGGCUACGAUCUGUAACCGGUCUUAGAGGACGGUCGGUCACACUGACACUGAAUAACGGGUCAGACUCCUACGGGAGGCAGCAGUCGGGAAUUUUGGGCAAUGGGCGAAAGCCUGACCCAGCAACGCCGCGUGAAGGAUGAAGUAUUUCGGUAUGUAAACUUCGAAAGAAUAGGAAGAAUAAAUGACGGUACUAUUUAUAAGGUCCGGCUAACUACGUGCCAGCAGCCGCGGUAAUACGUAGGGACCAAGCGUUGUUCGGAUUUACUGGGCGUAAAGGGCGCGUAGGCGGCUUUGUAAGUCACUUGUGAAAUCUCUGAGCUUAACUCAGAACGGCCAAGUGAUACUGCAAUGCUAGAGUGCAGAAGGGGCAAUCGGAAUUCUUGGUGUAGCGGUGAAAUGCGUAGAUAUCAAGAGGAACACCUGAG